ensembl:lncRNA
GCAGUAGCUGAAAGAAACUCUAAAAUAAUCAGAACUACGAGUUUUACAGAUAGAAUCCCCCCUUCCUCUCCUCAAUGGAUUGCUCCAACAGUUAAAAGCCCCCUCUGAUUUCAACAUAAAAUCCCUGAAGUGACUGAUCCAGUAUAACAUCAUCACACCGCCAACACACGGACGGCAGAGCAACCACAGCCCACCUCACGGACUCGUGGUAACAUCUGCCUGAUUUCACGGCUUUCUCAUAGCAGACGAAUGGGAUACUGUGAGCUUCUGCCUGUUUCCUGAGCCCCUCCUUCUCCUGCCCGAACAGGAAGAAGAGAGGACACAAGUGAAAGUGUUUCUGAACAGAGAAUGUCUGCAUUAGUUUCUUCCCUACAGAAGGCUCGACGUUUGUAAUUGUAUUUGAAAAGGUCCGCGUUGCUAUGGUGACCAGCAGUCUGCACAUCAGUCUCCAGGGUUAAAGGCUUGACCAACGUUUAACUGACCUGUCCAGGAAGACCUUUCACAGAGGAAUCAAAAGAACACAAUGGAGGAGAGAGAAAAAAUCAUAGAAGAAAGACAGAAGCUUCUGAAUCAGAAAGAAAUUAAUUUUCUAGAAAGAGAAAAGCGUUUGGACGGAAGAGAGAGACAGACAGACCCAAGACCGCGUGUCUUGUCUGGGAGAAGUCAUUGGGACGACCUAGAUGAUAUUUCAACUCGAGAAAGUUUUUCAAUUAGCCCACCCCCCAUAAGAAGAAGAAGAAGCAUUGCUGAACCUCCAGACUUGGGAAAAGAAAAAAGCCCACCAAAGCCAGACAAACCUGCAACUGAACCUGACCCUGUUGUCGUGAGCUGAGUUCAAUGUGGAAGUUCAGCCUAGAGAUUCUGGAGAUGACACCAACCAGAAAUCACAUUGGAAGCCUUUAGCACAAUUGCAGUUUUCCCAUUUUCAUGUUUUUAUUGACAGUUUAUCUUGCAGAGAUAAAGAUCAAGAUUUGUCCCACAUAAUGAGUCUCAUAAAAUUACAAAGGAACAUAUGCACCCUUUAGGUCUUCUGGGCACCACCAUCCCAUCAAAUCUAAUAAGAGGUUUUUGUAAAAUUACCUUUAAAAAGUAACAAUGAAAAGCUAAAGACAAAUGAAAAAAAAACCCUCACAGAAUAACCCACAAUUUCCUUCAGUCAAACCAGAAAAGUUGGCAUAUAUGGAUACUGGUUCCAAAAAUGUCAACUAUUUCGCCUCCGUUUUGUUAUCCUAUUUGUAGGAUCAGUGGUUGUGAUUAUGUUUGUGUGACUAAGUUUUCAGGUGUCUGAAAUUGAUCUGAUCAUUCGGCUCAGUUGGAACCUGUUUGGGAAGCUAAUUGGCCAUCGCCUCCCUUCUCACAUUGCACUUCAAACAUCAAUCAAAGAAGCUGAAAUGCAGCCCAAUCAUGAAAUUCAACCAGUUAUGAAUAAAUUGGGCUUGAAAUCACAGCAUCAAUAUGCUUUUAUCUCUGUGCUCUGGUUAAAGUACACAUGACCUGGACAAAUCAUGUAAAGUAACAUUUUGAAUAAUAUACAAGAAAUGACCAUCGGGAAUCACAUGUAUUAUCUUGCUAUCUUAGCUUUCUGUUACUAGCAGUGUGUAGUGCUGUAUUAAGCUUAAUGUCACCAUAAAAUAUGAAAAAUAUUGAAUAAACACUCUUUGCAUG